AGAACGAACGCUGGCGGCAGGCUUAACACAUGCAAGUCGAACGCCCUCGCAAGGGGGAGUGGCAGACGGGUGAGUAACACGUGGGAACAUACCCUUCGGUUCGGAACAACGCCGGGAAACUGGCGCUAAUACCGGAUACGGCUUUUGAGCGAAAGAUUUAUCGCCGAAGGAUUGGCCCGCGUUCGAUUAGCUUGUUGGUGAGGUAACGGCUCACCAAGGCGACGAUCGAUAGCUGGUCUGAGAGGAUGGCCAGCCACAUUGGGACUGAGACACGGCCCAAACUCCUACGGGAGGCAGCAGUGGGGAAUAUUGGACAAUGGGCGCAAGCCUGAUCCAGCCAUGCCGCGUGAGUGAUGACGGCCUUAGGGUGUAAAGCUCUUUCGCACGCGACGAUAAUGACGGUAGCGUGAGAAGAAGCCCCGGCUAACUUCGUGCCAGCAGCCGC
rnacentral:rRNA from 1 species